CAAAAAGCCGGCGUAUUGGGCCAGCCGAGGUCAGUUUGCGCCGCCCUUAGCGAGUAGAGUCGGCGUGACGCGAAGCGCCAAACAGGAUGGCGGACUACAAGGCGGUCCCACCACUGAUAAAGUCGGAUUCUAGCAGGGUUUUAUAGAGCGUCAAAACUAAGGGUUCGAAAAGUCAAUACCUUUAGUUA
rnacentral:sRNA from 1 species